rnacentral:lncRNA from 1 species
AUUUCAAUUUUCCAGCUUUGGAAAACCAUCAAUUACAAAGUAUUAAAACCUGUCACAUGAAAAGAAGAGUCACAAAUACAUUUUAAAAAUAUAUAAAAAAUAUUUUAAUGAAUAUUUAAAAUAAUUUUAUUUAAAAUGUUUUUUAAAAUGUGUUACCAGCUCAGCCCUAAUAAGAAAUUUUGAUGGUGUUUGUGCAAUUCUCCAUUAUUCCUUUACAGGUGAGCCUAUGUAAAAUAGAGAAGAGAUUGUUAUUGCUGUAUUGCAAUCAUCAAGCCUUAUUUCAUUACAAUUAUUCCAGUAGUUAUUCAUCGUCAGUAUCAUGAUAAUUUUAAUAAGUGUAAAAAGCACAUUCUUUGUUCAUUAGUUUUUUCCUAAUGUUAUGAUCCUCAUGUCAUUUGCAAUCGGUAGACAUUCAAAUUAAAGUCUAAGAGAUGGAAAAAUUCCUUUGUGGAUUGAAUUUAACCCUGAAUUUUCUGAUUUAUAGUCAUUCUAUAAUGCAGUUAAAAAAGCUGAUGGACAAACACGAGCACAGAUUACAGCUGAGAUCAUGGCACAUGAUCUAAUGUUGGGCCCUCUGAGUGUACCAGAGGUGUCUGUGAAGAAACACUGUGAAAAAUGUACCAAGUAGAAAGGAGUGAAUGUGCAUUAUGGCUGUAUGAGGUGGAGCAAGCUACUCAGGAAAUGCCUUCAGUGCCAGCUGAGAGUACUGCUCCAGGAACAAUUGCUCCAAAUGAUACAAGUAUUCACUGUUCUGGAUAUAAACCUGUGCUAAAAUCAACUGAUUACAGCUCUGGCCACAGAAAAGAACCAGGAACAAAUGACUUUGAACCAGGUAGUCUGUGCACUUUUAAAUUAAUUAGCAUGUCUUUGAACUUAAUUUAUUUUCUGUUGCAUGGUCUGAAAUAAAUAGCAGUUACUAAUAAUCUUUUUAAAACUAAUUUUUGUGAUACACUGUAAGAAACAGAGAGAAAG